GAGGAAUCACUUGCAGCAAGACAGAGCGAUGCUUUUGCUCAUGCUCGUAUUUCAUAUUUUGACCAGGGUUUUCUGAUGCACUGUGAUUGGCUUUACCAUCUGUCACUAUCUCCUCUAUAGCAUACAUCAACCAAGAUACUAUCAGAACAUUAUUACAAUACAACAACACGCUUUUAAACUAGUUAAUAUUGCUGAACGUGAUCUCUUUUGUUUAUAGGUAACAAUGAUGCACACACUCUGGAGACCCAUUUGUCAUCAUCGUGUAUAUGAGUGUGUGUUGCCCUCUAGUGGUGAAGUGUAUCUACAAUACUGUAAAUACUAAGUUACUACAACAUUUGAUCCAUUUUAACGUUUGCACUUUUUGAGAUAUUAGUUAUCUGUGGUGGGAUAAGAUAUUUGCACAUGUUCAAACAGGGGAAACAAAGUAUCUCCUAUGGUUUGUCAUAUUUUUCUACAACUCUCAACCUCUUAAGCCAACAAAGCAGUGUAAAACAGAGUAAGGCUUUCCCAUCUCUUUUCAGGAAAAGACCCUUCCCUGUGCUCUUGCAGCAACGCACCACCACAAACUUCAGCUCUUCUCUGUCAAAAAUGCCAGACUCCAACGAAGCUGUGCCGGCACCAUGCCAGGUCAUCAAAGAGGACUUUGACAAAUGUGUCAGAGAGAAGGGAGAGGAGGCCUGUAAAGAUCUGAUAGAUGCCUUCCAGGUCUGUAUAAAAACCCUGUCUGAGGGAUCAUGAUGCAUAAGGAAGAACAUCUUAAUCAAAUCUUCAAGUCCUCCACUUUUCCCGGCAUUCCCUUCAUCGCUAAACGCACUGGACCGAACCAUCUUACCAACGGAAGAGGGGGGUGAUGAUGCUGAUCUUCUGAUGCUGUAUUCUUCUGUCAAUGUAAAACCUUUUUUGUCAUAAAUGUUAUAACUCCAUUGUGGACUCUAUAUAACUCUGAUUCCCUCUGCACUGUAACAUUUGUAUGCACAAAAAAAUCCAAUAAAUAUAAAGCUUGUC